rnacentral:snRNA from 1 species
GGGCAGGCCUCCGGCUGCGACAGCUGUCGCCCCAUUGGUCACCAGGGUUGAUUCAGCUGUCCGACUGGCUAGGAAGUGUCCCUUUCUCCCUCCACACUCCAUGUGCAUCCCUCUUGAAGCUGCCCGCUCCGUCGAAGAGGACGACCACCCCCGAUAGAGGAGGACAGUUCCUCGGUCCAGGGUACAGGAGCAGCUGCGCUCCCCUGCUGGACCCUCCAAGCAAGCUCUCCAGGUCCAUUCCUAUAAGGGCUAUUUACAUGGCGUUUCCAUGACACCAAAGUUAGGUGACCUUGAGAUGCAUUUCUGUGACACCAAGGUCAG